AACUCCCUGGGAUUUCGCGUGAGAAAAGUCUUUUUUUUACCAACACUUCUUAAAAGGGAUGCUUACUCCGGCUGCGGCAUAUACGCCUCCUUUCCCUUCGGGGACUGCCAGUGGACAUAUAAAACAGACGGGAAGCAACCCACCUGCUUAUGCAGGUAGAAAUUCGGCUUUUAUAUACGGUUAUCUUGGGGGUUCU
rnacentral:other from 1 species